rnacentral:rRNA from 1 species
UACGUAGGGUGCAAGCGUUAUCCGGAAUUAUUGGGCGUAAAGAGCUCGUAGGCGGUUUGUCGCGUCUGCUGUGAAAACUGGAGGCUCAACCUCCAGCCUGCAGUGGGUACGGGCAGACUAGAGUGCGGUAGGGGAGAUUGGAAUUCCUGGUGUAGCGGUGGAAUGCGCAGAUAUCAAGAGGAACACCGAUGGCGAAGGCAGAUCUCUGGGCCGUAACUGACGCUGAGGAGCGAAAGCGUGGGGAGCGAACAGG